rnacentral:rRNA from 1 species
UACGGGGGGGGCAAGCGUUGUUCGGAAUUACUGGGCGUAAAGGGCUCGUAGGUGGCCAACUAAGUCAGACGUGAAAUCCCUCGGCUUAACCGGGGAACUGCGUCUGAUACUGGAUGGCUAGAGAUUGGGAGAGGGAUGCGGAAUUCCCGGUGUAGUGGUGAAAUGCGUAGAUAUCGGGAGGAACACCAGUGGCGAAGGCGACUUCCUGGCCUGUUCUUGACGCUGAGGCGCGAAAGCUAGGGUAGCAAACGGG